GCGCAGCUACCAUGCAAGUCGAGCGGAUGAAGGGAGCUUGCUCCUGGAUUCAGCGGCGGACGGGUGAGUAAUGCCUAGGAAUCUGCCUGGUAGUGGGGGAUAACGUCCGGAAACGGGCGCUAAUACCGCAUACGUCCUGAGGGAGAAAGUGGGGGAUCUUCGGACCUCACGCUAUCAGAUGAGCCUAGGUCGGAUUAGCUAGUUGGUGGGGUAAAGGCCUACCAAGGCGACGAUCCGUAACUGGUCUGAGAGGAUGAUCAGUCACACUGGAACUGAGACACGGUCCAGACUCCUACGGGAGGCAGCAGUGGGGAAUAUUGGACAAUGGGCGAAAGCCUGAUCCAGCCAUGCCGCGUGUGUGAAGAAGGUCUUCGGAUUGUAAAGCACUUUAAGUUGGGAGGAAGGGCAGUAAGUUAAUACCUUGCUGUUUUGACGUUACCAACAGAAUAAGCACCGGCUAACUUCGUGCCAGCAGCCGCGGUAAUACGAAGGGUGCAAGCGUUAAUCGGAAUUACUGGGCGUAAAGCGCGCGUAGGUGGUUCAGCAAGUUGGAUGUGAAAUCCCCGGGCUCAACCUGGGAACUGCAUCCAAAACUACUGAGCUAGAGUACGGUAGAGGGUGGUGGAAUUUCCUGUGUAGCGGUGAAAUGCGUAGAUAUAGGAAGGAACACCAGUGGCGAAGGCGACCACCUGGACUGAUACUGACACUGAGGUGCGAAAGCGUGGGGAGCAAACAGGAUUAGAUACCCUGGUAGUCCACGCCGUAAACGAUGUCGACUAGCCGUUGGGAUCCUUGAUAUCUUAGUGGCGCAGCUAACGCGAUAAGUCGACCGCCUGGGGAGUACGGCCGCAAGGUUAAAACUCAAAUGAAUUGACGGGGGCCCGCACAAGCGGUGGAGCAUGUGGUUUAAUUCUAAGCAACGC
rnacentral:rRNA from 1 species